rnacentral:tRNA from 1 species
GGGGAUGUGGCGGAAUUGGCAGACGCGCUAGAUUUAGGAUCUAGUGGGCAUCGCCCGUGGAGGUUCGAGUCCUCUCAUCCCCA